rnacentral:lncRNA from 1 species
ACUGUACAAAUAGAAUGAAAUUCAAAACAGUGUGGCUGUGGCCAUUGAUUGACACAUUGAAUUCAUCCAUUGACUGGGACAAUUUAGGUGAACGUUUGUAUGUAACGACCACUGCUCACUAUGUACUUUUUAAAGACACUUAAACUAUGGGGUCACCAAAGGUUCUCAACACCUUAAUAAAGUAAUUCGAAAAAUUAAUCAGAAAUAACACGAUGUUUUGAUUUAUAUCAAUUAUAUAAAUCAAAACAUAAAGGUUAUUCCUGAUUAAUUAUUUUAUAAUUAAAGGCGUUAAGAAACCUUUGGUGACCCCACAGUUUAAAUGUCUAUCGUAGGUACGUCGUGAACAGUGGUCGUUACAGACAAACGUUCACGUAAAUUGUCCAAGUCAAUGGAUGAAUUUAAUGUGUCAAUCAAUGGCCACAGCCACACUGUUUUGAAUUUCAUUCUAU